rnacentral:rRNA from 1 species
UACGUAGGGACCAAGCGUUGUUCGGAUUUACUGGGCGUAAAGGGCGCGUAGGCGGCGCGACAAGUCACUUGUGAAAUCUCUGGGCUUAACUCAGAACGGCCAAGUGAAACUGUUGUGCUAGAGUGCAGAAGGGGCAAUCGGAAUUCUUGGUGUAGCGGUGAAAUGCGUAGAUAUCAAGAGGAACACCUGAGGUGAAGACGGGUUGCUGGGCUGACACUGACGCUGAGGCGCGAAAGCCAGGGGAGCAAACGGG